rnacentral:tRNA from 1 species
GGAAGCGUGGCAGAGCGGCCGAAUGCAUUCGCCUUGAAAGCGAACGUGGGGCAACCCACCGGGGGUUCAAAUCCCUCCGCUUCCG